AUGUCCAUGCAGGGUGCUCUGGCUGCUGUGUGGCUGGGGCUCCUCCUUGGCUCCCUUUGGAAGGUUGCAGGGAGCAAGGAGCAAGUGUCUCAGCGUCCUGCUGCGGCAUCUUCUGAGGGGGCUGUAGUGGAAAUCUCCUGUAAUCACUCUGUGUCCAAUGCUUAUGACUUCUUCUGGUACGGCCACUUUCCUGGAUAUGCGCCACGACUGCUUGUUAAGGGCUCAAGGCCUUCUCAGCAGGGACGAUACAACAUGACUUAUGAACGAUACUCCUCGUCCCUACUCAUCCUCCAGGUGCAGGUGGCAGACACUGCUGUGUAUUACUGUGCUGUGAGGGACACAGAGGCAGGGAAACCAUGA